rnacentral:misc_RNA from 1 species
GGAAGGAUCAUUCAUGGUGAGGGUGCCGCAUGCGCUUCGGCGCGCGCGCGCACUCCUUUCACUCUCUCACUCACACACCUGUGUUGUCGUUUCGGGCGUGCUGGAGAAGCAAUGCCCGCGCCUUUGUUGCUUGGCGGUGGGGUCGGUUUCGUGGUUCGCGUUGCCUGGGGGAUGCCACGUCACCGCCCUCUCCGCCGACAAGGUCGUCUUUGACCCAACUUUUGGUGCGCGCUGCGCCUCUCCCGCCGCCCCGAUUUUCAACCCAAAAACAACCAAAAAACACCUUUCGAGACUGAUCCAAGUGCAUCGUGUGGUUACACACACGCGCACGCAACAAAAAUACAACACAACUGUUGGCAACGGAUCACUCGGCUCUCGUGUCGAUGAAGAGCGUAGCGAAUUGCGAAAAUUAAUGCGAUCUGCAACCAUCGUGAAUCAUCGAGUUCUUGAACGCACCUUGCACCUUUUGUGUCGAGCGAAAGGUAUGCCUGGGUGAGUAUCGAAUCUCUUCUCCUCCCGUCCCGAGUUUCGGCUUGGAAGGGAGGGAGUCUGGGCCAUUCGUGUGCGCGCGCCUGUCCUUGCGGGGGCAGGACGCGACGAUGUGCCUCAAAUGCAGAAGGCCAGUUUAUAUCUGGGUCACUGCCCUCCUUCUCCCCCUCUUGCGAGAGCGCGAAGGACGUAUAGGCGAGUUUGGCUCUGGUGUGCGAAUGGGCAUUUUUCGAUCUUCGACACAAUGCCGCGCCACGUCCACCAACCAUCACGCCGCUUCGCAAAAGAGGCUUGACCUUUUACUUUGUUUGGCUCCCACCCGUCGACCCCUUGCGCGUCGACAGCAGCACACACAUCGUGCUAUGACCUCGAUCUCACCUCAGGUAAGAUUACCCGCUGAACUUAAGCAUAUCAAUAAGCGGAGGAAAAGAAACCAACAGGGAUUCCCCUAGUAACGGCGAGUGAAGCGGGAACAGCUCAGAUUUGAAAUCGGGUCGCCUGCAUUGGCGGUCUCGAGUUGUAAUUUGAUGAGUGAGGUUCGACGGCGGCCCAGGCCCAAGUCCUCUGGAAAGGGGCAUCGUGGAGGGUGACAAUCCCGUCCGUGGCCGUGGAAGUAGUAGCGCGCUCGUCAUCCUGUGAACCUCGCUCGGCGAGUCGGGUUGUUUGGGAAUGCAGCCCAAAGCGGGUGGUAAACUCCAUCUAAGGCUAAAUACCAGCGAGAGACCGAUAGCGAACAAGUACCGUGAGGGAAAGUUGAAAAGCACUCUGAAGAGAGAGUCAAACAGUACGUGAAAUUGCCAACAGGGAAACGAUGGGCGCCAGUACGCACCGUCGUGCACGUCAGGCGUGGUACCCCGUGCCGGGCGUCGUUGCGGAGAGCGCGCGAGAGCGCGCCUCGGGCGGCGUCGUGGCGUGGGGUGCAGCGCCGUAUUGUGUCACGAACGCGUGGGUCAACGUCGGUUUCGCGGCACGUCAAUUGGCCCCCGGCAAGGUGCCCAGGCUCCGUGAGGAGUUCGGGACUUACAGGCCGGGGUGUUUCCGGGCGUGCCCUCGAGACCGAGGCAUAACAAAAACCGCGGUCUGCGCCUCCCCUUCAGGGAGACGGGACGCAUCGCGAGGGAGAAAUCGGAGGCGGGCGCUAGCGGCAACAGCCUGGCUGAUGUCGCAGCGGACGCGUCCUCCCUCUCCUCGCGGCGUCGCCUGCAGGCCAAGGACGUUGGCGAAAUGGCGCUCAACGACCCGUCUUGAAACACGGACCAAGGAGUCCAACAUGCGUGCGAGUGUUUGGGUGGGUCAAACCCGAACGCGGAAUGAAAGUGACCUUUUUUUAAUGGCAGGACGCCGCGAGGCUGCACUGCCGGCCGAUCCAUUGCCAGUGCCAGCGAUGGCCUGCGGAUUUGAGCAAGAGCACGCCUGUUGGGACCCGAAAGAUGGUGAACUAUGCCCGAGUAGGAUGAAGCCAGAGGAAACUCUGGUGGAGGUCCGUAGCGGUCCUGACGUGUGUGUCCGAUGUGCGCGUCGAAACGCUUCAUUGUGUGUGUGGUGGUGGUGGGACGAAGCGAGCCAGCGUGUGCGUGUUUGCGCCGCGCUGAGCGACACUGCCAAAUUGCGGGGACGCCACUGUGGCAAUCCGCAGCCAGCCUCUUUCUCUCACUGGGAGGAAGAGAGCGGUUCAGAGAUUAGAUGGCGGUGGGCUGUUCUCUCUCCAGGAGGGGAACGGCUUGAGAGAUAAUCCGGCCACUCGCGCGGUGCGUGCGAGUGGGAAGAUGCAACCGGCAAAUCGGUCGUCGAACUUGGGUAUAGGGGCGAAAGACUAAUCGAACCAUCUAGUUGCUGGUUCCCGC